rnacentral:rRNA from 1 species
GGGGAAUCUUGCACAAUGGGGGAAACCCUGAUGCAGCGACGCCGCGUGAGCGAUGAAGCCCUUCGGGGUGUAAAGCUCUUUCGACGGGAACGAUAAUGACGGUACCCGGAGAAGAAGCUGCGGCUAACUACGUGCCAGCAGCCGCGGUAAUACGUAGGCAGCAAACGUUGUUCGGAAUUACUGGGCGUAAAGAGUGUGUAGGCGGUUGGGUAAGUUUGGUGUGAAAUCUCCCGGCUUAACUGGGAGGGUGCGCCGAAAACUGCCUGGCUUGAGUACUGGAGAGGAUAGCGGAAUUCCUGGUGUAGCGGUGAAAUGCGUAGAUAUCAGGAGGAACACCUGCGGUGUAGACGGCUGUCUGGACAGUAACUGACGCUGAGACACGAAAGCGUGGGGAGCAAAC